GAUGAACGCUAGCUACAGGCUUAACACAUGCAAGUCGAGGGACCGGCGCACGGGUGAGUAACACGUAUCACACCUGCCCUUUACUCGGGGAUAGCCUUUCGAAAGAAAGAUUAAUACCCGAUGUAAAGGAUGGGGAUGCGUUCCAUUAGGUUGUUGGUGAGGUAACGGCUAACCAAGCAUUCGAUGGAUAGGGGUUCUGAGAGUAAGGUCCCCAACAUGUGAACUGAGACACGGUCCAAACUCCUACGGGAGGCAGCAGUGAGGAAUAUUGGUCAAUCGGCGGUAGCCUGAACCAGCCAAGUAUCUUGAAGGAUGAAGGCUUAUGGGUCGUAAACUUCUUUUAUAUAAGAAUAUGUAUUAUAUGAAUAAGGAUCGGCUAACUCCGUGCCAGCAGCCGCGGUAAUUC
rnacentral:rRNA from 1 species